UGUGGUUAAGAUGUAAAGGGUGCAAGGUGGAUGAUUUGGCGUCAAGAACCGAUGAAGGACGUGGUACGGCUGCGAUAAGCCUCGGGGAGCUGCCAAGCAAGCUUUGAUCCGGGGAUUUCCGAAUAGGGAAACCUGGCUGGGGUUAUGCCCAGUCACCCGGCACUGAAUACAUAGGUGUCGGGAGGGAACGAGGGGAACUGAAACAUCUCAGUACCCUCAGGAAAAGAAAGAAACCUCUACUCCCUCAGUAGCGGCGAGCGAACGGGGAACAGCCUAAACCUCAUACAUGUAAGGGCGCACCGUUGUGUAUGUGGUGUCGUGGGAUCUGCCUGGGUGAUGCGAUAAUCCCAGGGAGUUACAAAAGUAUCGGAUAGCUGAACGGUCUGGAAGGGCCGACAAUAAAGGGUGAUAGUCCCGUAGGCGAAAUUCGAUACCCUCCUGGCAGACUCCCAAGUAGGGCCAGUCACGUGGAACCUGGUCUGAAUCUGGGGGGCCCACCCCCCAAGGCUAAGUAUUCCUUGACGACCGAUAGUGCAUAAGUAGCGCGAGCGAAUAUUGAAAAGUACCCCUGUUAGGGGAGUGAAAUAGUACCUGAAACCAAGCACCUACAAGCAGUGGGAGCCCCAUGUUCGACGGGGUGACCGCGUGCCUUUUGCAUAAUGACCCGUCGAGUUGCCGUGUAUGGCUAGGCUAAGGCCUUAAGGGCCGUAACCGAAGGGAAACCGAGUGUUAAUAGCGCGUGCAGUCAUACGUGGCAGACCCGAAAGCAGGUGAUCUAACCAUGGCCAGGCUGAAGCGGGUGUAAAAGCCCGUGGAGGGCCGAACAGGUGUAGGUUGAAAACUGCUCUGAUGAGCUGUGGUUAGGGGUAAAAGGCCAAUCAAACCUGCAGAUAGCUGGUUCUCCCCGAAAUGUCUUUUGGGGCAGCGUCGGGUUUUAAGUCGCGGGGGUAGAGCUACUGAAGGGGAUAGGGGGGCUUCCCGCCUACCCUACCUCAUCAAACUCCGAAUACCGCGAUGUACAAUCCGGCAGUGAGUCCACGGGGGAGAAGCUCCGUGGACGAAAGGGAAACAACCCAGAUCGCCGGCUAAGGUCCCUAAUCCGUGCUAAGUGCAGAAGGAGGUGGGUUUGCAAUGACAGCUGGGAUGUUGGCUUAGAAGCAGCCACCAUUUAAAAAGUGCGUAAUAGCUUACCAGUCGAGCAGGCCCGCGCCGAAAAUUAACGGGACUCAAGUACGGAACCGAAGCCGCGGGGAUCAGAUUCGUCGUUGACGGUCUGGUUCGGUAGGGGAGCGUUCCAUGUGGGUCGAAGCCGUACCGUAAGGAGCGGUGGACCGCCUGGAAGUGAGAAUGACGGGAUGAGUAACGAGAAAACAGGUGAGAAUCCUGUUCGUCGUAAGUCUAAGGUUUCCUGGGGAAGGCAAAUCCUCCCAGGGUUAGUCGGAUCCUAAGGCGAGGCCGAAAGGCGUAGUCGAUGGAUAACAGGUUAAUAUUCCUGUACCACUUGCAAUCGUUCCACCCAAAGGGGUGACGGAGAAGGUAAGGCGAGCCGGCAGUUAGUGUCCGGUGAAAGCGUGUAGGGAGGAGGCCUAGGUAAAUCCGGGCCUUCGUUAAUCCUGAGACGCGAGACGAGCCCGUUUUGUUGGCGAAGUCGCUGGUUCCAUGCUUCCUAGAAAACCCUCGUUGGGGAGUUGCAAGUGUCCGUACCGCAAACCGACACAGGUAGACGAGAUGAAUAUUCUAAGACGCUCGGGAGAACCAUCCUUAAGGAACUCGGCAUAAUGGCCCCGUAACUUCGGGAGAAGGGGUGCCCUUGGCGGUGAAGCGGCUUGCCCGCUGAGCUGUCGAGGGUCACAGCAAAUCGGCCCAACCGACUGUUUACCAAAAACACAGGUCUGUGCUAAGUCGCAAGACGCCGUAUACAGACUGACGCCUGCCCAAUGCUGGAAGGUCAAAGGGAGGGGUUAUCCUUCGGGAGAAGCUCUGAACCCAAGCCCCAGUGAAUGGCGGCCGUAACUAUGACGGUCCUAAGGUAGCGAAAUUCCUUGUCGGGUAAGUUCCGACCCGCACGAAUGGCGUAACGAGUUGGGCACUGUCUCGAGGAUGGACCCGGUGAAAUUGAACUCGUGGUGAAGAUGCCACGUACCCGCAGCAAGACGGAAAGACCCCGUGAACCUUUACUGCAGCAUAGUAUUGGGUGCUAGCAGCUCAUGUGUAGGAUAGGUGGGAGGCUUUGAAGCUGGGACGCUAGUUCCGGUGGAGCCAACCUUGAAAUACCACCCUUGUGUUGUUGGCGUUCUAACCUGGUUCCGUGAAUCCGGGCCAGUGACAGUGCUAUGUGGGCAGUUUGGCUGGGGCGGUCUCCUCCAAAAGAGUAACGGAGGAGUGCAAAGGCAUCCUCAGCAUGGUCGGCAACCAUGCGUAGAGCGCAAGGGUAAAAGGGUGCUUGACUGUGAGAUCGAUGGAUCGAACAGGUGUGAAAGCAGGCCUUAGUGAUCCGGCGGUUCCGAGUGGAAGGGCCGUCGCUCAUCAGAUAAAAGGUACUCCGGGGAUAACAGGCUGAUCUCGCCCAAGAGUUCAUAUCGACGGCGAGGUUUGGCACCUCGAUGUCGGCUCAUCACAUCCUGGGGCUGAAGGAGGUCCCAAGGGUUUGGCUGUUCGCCAAUUAAAGUGGUACGCGAGCUGGGUUCAGACCGGCGUGAGCCAGGUCGGUCCCUAUCUGCUGUGGGCGUAGGAAGGUUGAGGGGUUCUGACCCUAGUACGAGAGGAUUGGGUUGGACGAACCUCUGGUGUUCCUGUUGUCGUGCUAACGGCAGCGCAGGGUAGCUAUGUUCGGACAGGAUAAGCGCUGAAAGCAUAUAAGCGCGAAGCCCUCCCCAAGAUCGACCUUCCCUAUCAGGGCCGUGGAAGACUACCACGUUGAUAGGCCAGGGGUGUAAGCACAGCGAUGUGUUCAGCUGACUGGUACUAACCGCCCGAUUGGCUUAACCAC
rnacentral:rRNA from 1 species